GCUCUCGUAGCUUAAAAUAAAGCGUUACAUUGAAGCUGUAAAUAUGACGCAAGUCCAAGAGCA
rnacentral:tRNA from 1 species